CAUCGAUUCAACUUGUUUCAAAUAGUUUACAUUUCAAUUAAUUGAUUUUCUUAGGGUUUAGCAAUAAAUCUGUGUUAAAUUUUUGUUUGAUUUUUAUUCAGAUUAAUCUUCCUUAACUGCUAAUGAUGUUGAUCUGUAUUUGACUGCUAAUUUUAUUUGAUUUUGAUUCGUCGAUUAUUUUUUUUGUUUCAAAUCUCCUUUAUCCGGUACAAAUCGAUGUUGUUUUUUGUUACAAAUCUCCAUUAUGUGGUACAGAUCUAUUAAUCGAUGUUUUUUGUUUCAUUUACUAAUGACAUUUAUGAUUUCGUUUCAUGUAAUUGUAAUGAAAUCAAUAUAUUGAUGCAUGGAAACCGAUGAUAUUGAUGUUUAAAUCAACAUAAACAGCUUUAAAAGAAACGCGAAUUCGGCUCGUAACACAAGUUGACCAUGCAUAACCGUACAGGACCAAGUCCGGAUCGUGAUCCUCAAUUUGUAAGUAAAACUUGAGCAGAGAAGAUGAUUAUCAAAGAGAUGCAUGCCCUCCUGCUGAAAGAUACAGUAAUAAUAUACAAAAAAGAAUACGAAGUGUUUGUUGGUGGCCUUGACACAAAUGCAGAUGAAGAUUUUAAUGUGUUUAAGUUGGUUAAGUUAUAGAAAUGAGAUAGUGAAUAGUCCAUUAAGAAUAAGGUUUUGCUUUUGUUGGAUUUGUGUCUGUUGAAUGACAAUGUAGACUGAAAUCUGAUAUGAAUAGACAUAUUAUCUUAAAAUGAAUGAAUCAUUAUGAUGCACUACAUGCAUGCAUGGCUUA